UGCACCCUGGGGCGUCGGGGUGCUUUGACAGCUGAGCGGAGGGUCCCCUCGAAGAUCAUUGGACUCUGCAAAAGAGAAGACUGGUGAGUGUUUGCCUGCCUAUACAUGUAUAUGUACCAUGCGCAUGCCUUGUGCCAGAAGAGUCAAAGGGCAGCAAUAGAGCCCCUGGAACUGGAGCUAUGGAUGGUUGGUUGGAGCUACCAGGCAGGGCAAGGGUGUACAGACAUGGGCAGGCAAGGAGGCAGGGAUCCUCUGAAAUUACACAGCCUAAGAACGCAACCAGCGGAGAUGUGUCCAUGAAAAUGUAAUCACCAGAAGUUACAGCUUCCUGCCUCCAGAAGAAAUAAGAUGAUGUUGACAUUUUAAAAGAUUCUCCCACCGAGGAAACACCUGCUCUGUCCAGCACCAUUUGAAGCUCUGUACCAGCAAGCGCUCCCUCCAGAGAAGGGAGGUGCAGCUAGCUUGGUUGAAGGUAAGGAUCAAAGACUUUUAAGCAGCAGCUCCCUAAGUCUGAUGACGAGGAGCAUCGGAAGUUGACAGCCAGGGGGACCAGUGUGUUAUAGCCAAUGAGGACCUUUAAAAAACUGAUUAAAAGAAGAAAGGAAGAAAGGCCUUUUGUUUUGUUUUUGUUUUUGUUUUAAAGAGAAUACAGUCUGACCAAUACUCAGUGAACUACUGGACAGGAUGCUUUGUAAGAUGGCCUUUGCAUCUCUGGGCCUCCUGCAUCUACACCUGUGACAUGACAUUCCUAAGUUUGUGCCUCACAUGUAGAGUGUUGACUGAAAUCCCUGGCUAGACCCGAUAAACACCUCUUUGUAUGUCUUAUACUUUGGGGGCUCCCUAUAGAAAGUUAUUCUUUUGUGGUUGUUGUUUUAAUUAUUGUUAAUUUGUGUGUGUGUGUGUGUGUGUGUCUGUGUGUAACUGUAUGUAUAAUAAAGUAUAUAUGCAUUAUGGGUGUGCAGGAGCCCACAGAGGCCAGAAGAGGUCAUCAGAUCUUCUAGAACUUGAGUUACUGGAGCUUGUGAGUCACCAUGUGGGUUCUUAAUUCUUUUUUAAGUUCCAUGAUUUUCUUUGUAUUCUCACACAUGCAUCUUUUUCUCCAUGAAUUUUUUCUCAGUAUUUCCAACACAAAAUUGUAAGUAUAUUUAAAACAUUAUGACAUAUUA
rnacentral:lncRNA from 1 species